GUUGGGUGCCCACAGCGUACAGGUGCACAUCAAGUCCUAAGGAUUUUCCCUUGUUCUUGCAGCAGAAGAAGGUGUCAAGGAAGUACUUAGUGAACUGGAGGAGGCUCAAAAGCAGGUUGGAGAAGCUGAGCUGUGACAGGAAGAUUAUCACUGCCGGUGAAACCAAACUCAGUGAAAUGAUCGCUUUUGUGCUCCGGCAAAGCUCCUCAAGAAACAGUCCUCCUUCUCCUGUUUCUGAGGCUGUGUGCUGGCGUCCUGUGACACGGUGGAAAAACACGCAUGGAUAGUUGCCUUGGUAUCAUCUGGCCACUUCUUAUUAUGACUCCAGCUCUGAAUGGAGAGAUUCCAGAAAUUGGCAGAGGGGUCUAGAGAAAACACUUACACAUGUGAAGUGACAGGAAAAAGUCUUUCUACAAUUUAUAUACAAGGCAUUAAAUAGAGAAAACAUUUAAAACCAGGGUUCAAACUCAUUCUGACCCUACUACUGUGAGCUGGAGCAAUUCGGGUUUAAUCUACAGCUCCAUCUGAAAGACCUUCUGUUUGACUCUGGAUUGCACUGGGUAUCACAAUUAAACAUCCUUAAGUUCACUGCCACUUGGCGAACUUUCCCGAUUUCCACUUUUCCUUUCUGUUCCAUCCCUCUUGGAGACGCCCCAGGGAGAAUCAAAGAGCAUCUAAAUUGUCCAUGAACUAGUAGAUCAAGAGAACACUUUUUAAAUUAAAGGCAUCAUUGAUAGUCUUUCUUUUCAUAUCCUUGACUGGAAUGAACUAUGGCCUAAACAAGGGAGGAUAGGACAAAAUAGAGUUAAAAAGAACAUCAUACUUAUUUUUAUUGUAUUUUUUAUAAUCAUAAUGAUAGAAUUUAACACCAAUACAUAUGUAAUAUUAUUCCCAAACAAAUGACUAUGGAUUAAAUCAAGCAUGUAAUUUAGAGAAAUCAUAAGCCUGCCAGAGAAACUAUCAAUAUGCUAAAUGUGCAAAAUCCUACCACAUUUACGACCACAUUUCUCAUUUAAUAGUGCACACAUAUGUGUAAAAACAUACUCCCCGCACAUGUACACAAUGCAUACUUUCUACAAUACAAUAUAUACUUUGGUAUAAUAAAACAGUGCAGUGAUGUGUGGAAUGUUUGUGAUUUGUUUGAUUUGAGAAAAAACAAAUAUCUUUGAGGGAGUUGGAGAAUUUGUAAUAUGUACC
rnacentral:lncRNA from 1 species